UUUGGUUUGAAAGUUGAGAGGUUUUUCUAUCUUUUUCGGAAAAAUUUUGGCUUUUUUCAAAAGUGAAAGUUUUUUCAUAGCUAAAACCUAAAUUUACUUUAAAGGGGACCUAAAGAGCAUCUUUUUGGAGAUGUCAAAUAUCAAAUAUUAAAUUUGAAUUGGAUAAUUUAUGUGGCAAUUUGACCUUCCACCAGAUAUGUCAAAUUAAAAUAUUAUUUUAUUGUAAAUUGUUGACUAAUUUAUUACUUUCUAGGCACAUUAAUUAAAAAGAUAUAAUAAAAAAUAAAAUAACAUCACAAAGUCAAACAAUAAAAAAUAAUAAUUUCGGAAAAAAAUAAAAAAUAAUAAUAAGAAAGAGAAAUGUUAUUCUGCGUAGGAUUUAAUAUUUUGGUUUGAGUGAGUCUCAACUAUUUUUUCUACAUGCUAAAAGCCACCUUGAAUUUUACAUCUCCAUUGAACUCUCCAACUGAUGUGUUAAAAUGCCAGGUGGGGUUUUAAUAAUAUAAUCCAACCGAAGAGAUAAUGCUGACAAGAAUUUGAAGGCUGGCAUCUCUACGUUAUUUUUUACAACAACCAAAGUGAGUAACCGAAGAAAUAAUGCUGACAAGAAUUUGAAGGCUCACAUCUCAACGUUAUUUUUUACAGCAAACAAAGUGAGUAACCGAAGAAAUAAUGCUGACAAGGAUUUAUUAUUAAUAUUAAGUUUAGCAACUCAAUAUUAAUAAUAAAUAUUAUGUGGCAAACAAUGGUCCUCCAAGUCUUGUGGAUUGGAUUUGUUCUGACCCUAGUUGCUUAAUUGAAUAAAUUCUCCCCUCGAUAAACAAGAAGGAAGUAUUCAAAAUGAGUUUGCCUGCUUAAUUAUGUGCAUUUAAAAUUGAACUAUACUUCUUAAUGAAAUGUUUGUUAAGUACAUUAGGAUAUUUUCUAGCAGAGUGCUGCUAUUUUUACCCACAUGUCCUAUUUUCCCACCCACCUUAUCUUUAAACUUUUAAAGACGAAUUUAACCAUAUUGUAAAAUGACUUAAAAGGACUUAAGGAAAAAGAAAGAGGAAAAAAAAAAGAGGAAAAAAAAAAAACACAGACUUCUCAGUUCUCAAGUAACCCCAUCGUUUGACAGAGAGAAAAAAACACAAGAAUACGACUCCUUGUUCAUGAGAAGGUGAAGAAGGCUUUUCAGUGCUCCAAACUCAAUUCUCAAAUAAUUUUCUUCUCUUUUCUAUUCAUUCAAUCAAAUUGUUUAUGAAAAAGAAAACAAUAGAAUGGAUGUUGAAGAGCACAAUUUUAUUGCAAAGUUCAAUAGAUUUAUGGUCCUUGGAUAACUCUGGAGAAAAAGUCUAUUUACAAUAGUAGAAAGCUAAGAGCAUAAAUGUGAUUAUAUUCACAGAAUCCAUAUUUACAAAAAUUAAAAUUAAAAUUACAGCAAAAAAACUGUUUUAGUUCAGUAAACAUGAAUGACAAAGACAAAGAUGGAGUGUGAGAGAUGGAAAAUAAGAUAGAGCAAAAAUGAGAGAGAGAUGUGUGGGUCGUCAGAGAGAGAGAAGACAUGAGUAGAGAGAACAAAGGAGAGAGGAAAUGAGGUAAUAAUUAAAAGGGUAUUUUAGGAAUAUUGGUGGGUGUAAAAAUAGGAUUGUGUUUUUUAAAAUUUAUAUGGUGGGUGGAAUAUUCGAGUCCUAGUCGGACAAAACCUAGGUUUCUAAUCGAACAUUCACGGCUUCAAAUCGAUCCAAACCAACUAUCAAAAUAGCUAGAACACAAAUAAAUGGAUGAAGAAGCAUAACUUACUCGUCGGAUUCCGUUGCCAGAAUCACAGGAAACGAAGAUGGAAAAACAGCGACUUUUCUCCUCGUUCCAUCACGGCUCGAAAUCGGGUCUGGAUAAUCAGUGGAUCAUGUAGAGGAGGUGGAGAGGAGUGUUUUGCAAGUUGUGGCGUCGGAUUUGGUGGCCGGACGGCACCGGAAACCUUAUCGAAAGCGGCGGUAUUGUCUAAGAGAGAGAGAGGAGAGAGAAAGUCAGGAGAGAGAGAGAGAGAGAGAGAGAGAGAGAGAGAGAGAGAGAGAGAGAGAGAGAGAGAGAGAGGAAGAGAGAGAAGACUAGAUUUUUAAAACCCAACUUCAACAAAAUUACGGUUAUGCCACUACACUUUCGGUUAUGCCACUACACUCAACUCCC
rnacentral:lncRNA from 1 species